UAUUGCCUACGGGACGCAGCAGUAGGGAAUCUUCCACAAUGGACGAAAGUCUGAUGGAGCAACGCCGCGUGAGUGAAGAAGGGUUUCGGCUCGGAAAACUCUGUUGGUAGUGAAGAAAGAUAGAGGGAGUAACUGGCCUUUAUUUUACGGUAAUUACUUAGAAAGUCACGGCUAACUACGUGCCAGCAGCCGCGGUAAUACGUAGGUGGCAAGCGUUGUCCGGAUUUAUUGGGCGUAAAUCGAGUGCAGGCGGUUCAA
rnacentral:rRNA from 1 species